rnacentral:pre_miRNA from 1 species
UUACUUCAACCCGUAGAUCCGAACUUGUGGGGGAGAAUUCGGAAUUCUUUUUUAUGAUUUUUGAAAUUUCCAAAAUGAUAUCACAAGGACGCUUCUCCGGGCCAAAGUCAU